GUAGUAGUUGAUGAUGCAGCCUUUCUCAACUGGGGUUCCAGAUUUGAGUCACAGAAAAGGAGCAAUUACUUGAGUCACUAUUUUCUCAACCCUGUCAAGGAUGGUACCUAGCUAGUACUGCAGUAAAUGGAUCAGAAAGAGUUAAUCCAACACACACAAUGGAUGUCUUAGGGCAUUAGGACUUAAUUCUCUAACCUGGCAGAGAAAGGCUGAAUAGAAGCAGGAUUGACUGUUAUCAAUCCAUUCAAUUUACAAACUGUUUGAUUUGGAAAGAAUCUGGGGGCCCAGUGGGUAAAAUAUUAUGGGGCCAACCAAGACUCAGACAAAUAAGUAACAAUUCUUGAUGGAGACACUGACUGUCUGUAAAAUCAUAGUUAUCAACCUACAGUUAGAAAACAGAUGGUGCGUUUUAAAUCACUUCUCUAAGUGAGCUGACCUGUAAAUUGUCAUUAAUGCACCAGGUCUUCACUUGCUCUGCUGUGUAAUCAGCCUUUUAUCUCCUACCAGGGAAAUCCAUUAGCCACAGGCGUCUCUACUAUUCGUGUUUCCUCUCAGCUAUUAAAACAUUAUUGUACUAAAUAAUUCACCCUUGGUGAUUGGUCUUUGCUUUCAUUAGUGCCAUAUUCAGGGAAAAUAUAAGAAUAGAUAUUUACAGUUUACACUGUAGAAUGAUGAAUGGUAAAUCUCAUCUGUGAGAAAAUCAGGAAGAAGCCGCUUCAGAUACAGAGUAGGAUUUGUUCACUUCCUGCCCAAUUUCUACCUUCUCGUCAUGGUCUGCAGAGCCCAGCCCUGGGGAGAGGGAAAAAGAAGGGGGCUCACUUAACUAUUGGCUCUAAUUUUCUUGUACCCCUACACAGACAUACUCAUAAGUACCUGUCUCCUUUCUGUCACAGACAAGCAUGCAGACAGAAUAAGGGAGAGUGUCCCCAGGCCCCAAUCUCCCAAAUCCUUCUAGAUUUCCAUCUUUCCCCAGAAACUACAGUUCAGCUUUUCUUUCAUUCCUGCUGCCCCUUCUCUCACAGGGAAACAUGCAAACUACAUUGAUUACUUACACAAAAUCAAUGACUUAAAUGUACGCUAGCUGACAGGCUCAAUGUAAAAAUGACUACGAUUUUUAUCAAAAUUAAAAUAGGAUUGUUAAACAGCCUUAUCGAUUCAGCUGCAUGUAUAAAACUAAAAUUGGGUUACUGUAUGCAAGAUAAAUACUUAGCAGAGGAAAUGAGCCUUUUUAUAUCUAGAUGGCAUUUUUCUUUCUUUGAGAAGUAAAGAAUAAAAUAGGCUUUUGCUAAUUUUCAAAGAUAAAAAAAUUAUGUAAAACAUUUCUUUUUGUUAUAUGCUAAUUUAAAACAUAAGAUUAUCUUCCAAUAACUGAUGGAAAUUCUGUGCAAUUGUAAAUUCUGGUUACUCAAACCACACAGGAUGUUUGGUGAAAUGUGCCCAGAUAAACUGUAAAUUGGCUUAUCAUAACCCAGAGAGAAAAAGCUAUGGGGGGGAUCCAAGGCUUGGAGGGCUGGAGAGAGAGAUACUCAGAGGCAUCUAGGAACAAACUUUGCUCCUAAUUCCCUGACCACAGAAUUUGGUCUUGUCGAUCUGUUUGGUUCAGAAACCAAAGAGCCUACUAUUGCCAGAAAAUCCCUUAAGAAGAGCAGACAUUUAAGUUCCCCCAGAAGAGUGCUCUAAGCUUGGGACCAAAAGACAAGAGUGGCAUGAAGGAAGUGGUGUCCUUUUCACCUUGGCCAGACCCUAUCUGCCCAGGGAGCACCAGCAGCAGCAGCUGGUGUUGGGGUGGAAACCAAAGGCCAAGGGAAAAGCCUUACUAGGGCAGUGCUGAAUUCAUCCAACGCUACUGCCUCCUUUCAGUUAAGUUUGAGAAGGCCCAGACAAGCAGUGCCAUUGGCCCCUCUGGGUCGGCGAUCCUGAUAAGGGAGAAGGGGUUUAUCAAUGUCAUUUCUGGAGUAUUUGAAAAUUGCUUAUGAGGUGCUCCCCCUAGUCCAUCAUGGUUCCGUAGAUCUAGGAGGAGUCCUGGUGCAACCAUUUACAAAAGACUCCACAGAUUAUUUUGCUUUACAAAAUUCUGUGUAAGAACCAUUUCUAAGAGAUUUACACAUGCAGCCCAAAGAGAAGCUACUCUCAGGUUUAAGAGGAGGAGAUUUGUCUUCACUUGCUUUAGGAACACUCUUGGGCACAAGGUGGAAAUACUGGUUCAGUGUGAAGCAACUGGGGCAAUCAAAUGGAUAGUUUCUCUUAAAGUGCUUUAUGUUUGAUCAAUUUGUGCAUCACCCACAUGUGUGACCAUCAAUUAUGCAACCAUCGUUAGGAACAUACUAUAAAAAAUAAUCGGAGUAUUGUACAUGACACUAAUGGCUAUAUGCAUUGUUUCUGUUUAUAUUGAUGGGAUUAAAAGUGCAAUAAUUUUCUAUCACAGAUGGCCAAUUACUAGGGAAACUAAUGAUGAUUGUAGCCUCGAAAGCUGCCACUGAUCGGUCUCCCCUACCCUGGCUCUCUCUCCUACAUGAACUUUUGAACCAUGUAGUCGGAACCGUGGAGUUUCUUAUAUGGUGUGAAAUUCGAGCCUUUUGAAUUUAAGAACCAUUGAAAUGGAAAGUAACAGAAGAGACAGUCACAUCAAUGGAACAUAUAUAGUUAGCUCAGAAACAGAGCCUAGUGUGCAUGCAUAGUAAGCAAGAUGUAGUUGGGAAGAUGAUGUUGGGCAGCAGCUGAGGAGGCUUCAGGGGAACAGGAUUUCACAGAAGCAAGAGCUCCAUACUGCCUGCUGGACUCUCCCACUAUGGUUCACGUGGACUUCAAACCUGAACUGGCUGACCUCAGGGCCUAAGUGCUGACCUCAGCACUCUCCUCUUCAUCUUAACUACCACACUAUACUGUUCCAGCUUUAAAGUCUCUCUUCAGUAUUCUCUAUUACUUCCUGCUGAACAAAGCCUAGAAUAAUAGCUGGUAAACAACCACAUCAAAGAAAGGAAAGACAUGGCAAAUUUUUAAGUGAUUGUUAGACAUAACAGAAUCAGAGCCAUGCAUGUGAAAAAAUCUGAAGUAAGCAGGAGAUCCUUUGAGAAACAUCAGAAGUUUCCAUCUAACCUUCUCUUUUUCCUCAAAUUAAGUUUCCUUUCAGGGACAUGUGGGUGGCUCAGUUGGACCUGCCUUCAGCUCAGGUCAUAAUCCCAUGGUCCUGUGAUAGAGCCCUGCAUCAUCCCAGGCAGAGGGCAAGGGAGAAACAGACCCUUACCCUCUGCCUCUCCUCCCUGCUUGUGUUCUCUCUCUCUCUCUCUCAAAUAAAAUCUUUAAAAAAAGAAAAGAAAAAAAGUUUCCUUUCAGUACAAAAUUCUUUAUAACCUCGCUCCCUCUCUAUUAAAUGAAAUAUUUUCUAUUUUAGUAAUCUCCUUUGAAAUAUUUUGAUACUUGUGAUACUUAUAAUU